rnacentral:rRNA from 1 species
ACCAAACUCUUUUCUGUAGUCCCCUCGCGGACGUUAUUUCUUACAGCUCUGAGCAAAAAUUCAAAAUGAAUCAAAACUUUCAACAACGGAUCUCUUGGUUCUGGCAUCGAUGAAGAACGCAGCGAAAUGCGAUAAGUAAUGUGAAUUGCAGAAUUCAGUGAAUCAUCGAAUCUUUGAACGCACAUUGCGCCCGCCAGUAUUCUGGCGGGCAUGCCUGUCCGAGCGUCAUUUCAACCCUCGAACCCCUCCGGGGGGUCGGCGUUGGGGACCUCGGGAGCCCCUAAGACGGGAUCCCGGCCCCGAAAUACAGUGGCGGUCUCGCCGCAGCCUCUCCUGCGCAGUAGUUUGCACAACUCGCACCGGGAGCGCGGCGCGUCCACGUCCGUAAAACACCCAACUUCUGAAAUGUUGACCUCGGAUCAGGUAGGAAUACCCGCUGAACUUAAGCAUAUCAAUAAGCGGAGGAAAAGAAACCAAC